UACAGAGGUGGCAAGCGUUGUUCGGAAUUACUGGGCGUAAAGGGCGCGUAGGCGGCCUUAUAAGUCUCGUGUGAAAGCCCUCGGCUUAACUGAGGAUCUGCACGGGAUACUGUAGGGCUUGAGUUCGGGAGAGGAAAGCGGAAUUCCGGGUGUAGCGGUGAAAUGCGUAGAUAUCCGGAGGAACACCAGUGGCGAAGGCGGCUUUCUGGACCGACACUGACGCUGAGGCGCGAAAGCUAGGGGAGCAAACGGG
rnacentral:rRNA from 1 species